rnacentral:lncRNA from 1 species
UGAUUAUUUCCGCCCAGUCCCUGCCAUGACGUCUAUUUUGCACACAAGCACCUCGACGUUCGAAAUCACGCAAAACGGUACAUAAAAUAUUAGACUUUCCGUAGAUUUUCUGUUUUGCCAAUUUCGACCCAUCAGUGAUCUUUUCGCGAUUUUCGGAGAUUCGUCUGUCGAAUUUUCGAUCGGAUCACGCCAGCGCGUUCAACACGACU